rnacentral:lncRNA from 1 species
ACCAAAUUAUGAUCACAGGAUAACAGAUGCCAACUUACAGGGACUUAUAACUGUAUCCUCACAUACAAACAGAUAAACAGAAGAUAUGAGUGACCAAUGAGGUCUUACACUCUAUCCUUCCAUAUCACAGGAGCAAAUGCCAAAGCAAUGGACUUACAAUUGUCCUCAAUGGGCAAACAACAAUGAUAGCAUCACAAAACAGAUGAGAUGAUCA